rnacentral:rRNA from 1 species
UUAAACUCCUGUACCAGCAGGGUAAAAGCGACUUAGCCUAAUACGCUAGGGAGUUGAUUGUACCUGCAGAGGAAGCCCGGCUAACUCUGUGC